GCCCCAAUGACCUAAUGGAUAAGGCACUGGCUUCCUUAGCCAGUGAUUUCGGGGUCAAGUCCCAUCUGGGGUG